UGAGGAAUUUUGCGCAAUGGGAGCAAUCCUGACGCAGCAACGCCGCGUGGGUGAUGAAGGCCUUCGGGUCGUAAAGCCCUGUCAGGUGGGAAGAAUGUCCCGGGACUGAACAGGUUUUGGGAGUGACGGUACCACCAGAGGAAGCACCGGCUAACUCCGUGCCAGCAGCCGCGGUAAUACGGAAGGUGCAAGCGUUAGUCGGAAUUACUGGGCGUAAAGGGUGCGUAGGCGGUACUGUAAGUCGGGCGUGAAAUUCCGGAGCUUAACUUCGGAACGGCGUUCGAUACUGCAGUUCUAGAGGAAUGGCGGAGAGAAUGGAAUUCCAUAUGUAGCGGUGAAAUGCGUAGAUAUCCGGAGGAACACCAGUGGCGAAAGCGGCCUCCUGGACCACUCCUGACACUCAGACGCGAAAGCUAGGGUAGCAAACA
rnacentral:rRNA from 1 species